GACUUGGAGCUGAGGUCAUUUGGAGC
rnacentral:piRNA from 1 species